GAUGAACGCUGGCGGCGUGCCUAAUACAUGCGAGUCGAGCGAACAGACGAGGAGCUUGCUCCUCUGACGUUAGCGGCGGACGGGUGAGUAACACGUGGAUAACCUACCUAUAAGACUGGGAUAACUUCGGGAAGCCGGAGCUAAUACCGGAUAAUAUAUUGAACCGCAUGGUUCAAUAGUGAAAGACGGUUUUGCUGUCACUUAUAGAUGGAUCCGCGCCGCAUUAGCUAGUUGGUAAGGUAACGGCUUACCAAGGCAACGAUGCGUAGCCGACCUGAGAGGGUGAUCGGCCACACUGGAACUGAGACACGGUCCAGACUCCUACGGGAGGCAGCAGUAGGGAAUCUUCCGCAAUGGGCGAAAGCCUGACGGAGCAACGCCGCGUGAGUGAUGAAGGUCUUCGGAUCGUAAAACUCUGUUAUUAGGGAAGAACAAAUGUGUAAGUAACUAUGCACGUCUUGACGGUACCUAAUCAGAGAGCCACGGCUAACUACGUG
rnacentral:rRNA from 1 species